rnacentral:lncRNA from 1 species
AUGGGAUAGGGGCACCCUAGUUUUGAUAGAACAGGAUGCCCCACAUGCCGCCCCCAUCUUGAUGGCUGUCUUGAAAGGAAAAGAACCCUUCCUUUGCACAAAUCCAUGUGACUAGUCCACUUCACAUGGGUUCAGGUUGUAUUUUUCAUGCAAAAGAAUAAUUGAUCCCCUUUCACAUUAUCGACCAUUCUAUCAUGCCGCAUAAAACUCUCAAAAUAGUUAGAAAUCUUCAUCCAUCUGCCUGUAUAGAUCUUGAAGCA